GAUGAAGAACGUAGCGAAAUGCGAUACGUAAUGUGAAUUGCAGAAUUCAGUGAAUCAUCGAAUCUUUGAACGCAUAUUGCACUCUCUGGUAUUCCGGAGAGCAUGCUUGUUUGAGUAUCAGUAAACACCUCAACUUCCAUAUCUUUUUUGAAAUGGGAGUUGGACUUGAGUGAUCCCAACGCUUUUCCUCACCGAAAAGUGGCGGGUUACUUGAAAUGCAGGUGCAGCUGGACUUUUCUCUGAGCUAUAAGCAUAUCUAUUUAGUCUGCCUAAAAAACAGAUUAUUACCUUUGCUGCAGCUAACAUAAAGGAGAUUAGUUCUUGUGCUGACUGAUGCAGGAUUCACAAAGACGGCUUCGGCCGACUUUGUAAACUCGAUCUCAAAUCAAGUAAGACUACCCGCUGAACUUAAGCAUAUCAAUAAGCGGAGGA
rnacentral:misc_RNA from 1 species